CCUACGGGUGGCAGCAGUGGGGAAUAUUGGACAAUGGGGGCAACCCUGAUCCAGCCAUGCCGCGUGUGUGAAGAAGGCCCUCGGGUUGUAAAGCACUUUCAGUGAGGAAGAACGCCUGGUGGUUAAUACCCAUCAGCAAAGACAUCACUCACAGAAGAAGCACCGGCUAACUCCGUGCCAGCAGCCGCAGUAAUACGGAGGGUGCGAGCGUUAAUCGGAAUUACUGGGCGUAAAGCGCGCGUAGGUGGCUUGAUAAGCCGGUUGUGAAAGCCCCGGGCUCAACCUGGGAACGGCAUCCGGAACUGUCAAGCUAGAGUGCAGGAGAGGAAGGUAGAAUUCCCGGUGUAGCGGUGAAAUGCGUAGAGAUCGGGAGGAAUACCAGUGGCGAAGGCGGCCUUCUGGACUGACACUGACACUGAGGUGCGAAAGCGUGGGUAGCAAACAGGAUUAGAUACCCUGGUAGUC
rnacentral:rRNA from 1 species